AGCUGAGGGUGUGGGUCCCGGCGGUGAGGGCUGAACAGCCCUGGGGUGUGGGGAGACAAAGGGAUCCAAGUCGUGUCUUUCCUGCUUUGGGAAUCGGUGUCCCGGCUGUCUGGUGAGGCAGAGAGAUGUGCCCUUGGGGUGCCUCCCGGCCCCAUGGAACAUCAGAGAAGGUAUGGACUCUGAGCCACAGAAACAGGAUCCAGUAGAGAAGAACCAAGUGUGAUGUUGAAUCUGCUAGGCAAGUUCCUGGAGCAAGAGUGAAGAGAUCAGGCCCCAUCACUGGGGUAUUUUAGUUUGAUCUGAGUGAAGCAAUUUCUUAUUGAGCCCCAGGAAGAAGAAAUAGUGCAGAAGAGAAGGAAUAAUAAUGGGUCAGCUAGACAGAAGAUGAGAAUCAUCAAACAUGUGUCCCAGUAGCCAGACCUAUCAACAGAGCACAGGACCUUGGGUGCUGGCUACCUGAUGGAAAGGAGGAAGGAAGAAACAUAAGGAGAACAAAUACACAUUCACAUCUCAACAUUGUGACCUGCCAUAUAUGCCUUCUUUGCCGUGUGUAUUCUCUUGCAGAGCUACUAAAAUGGACACAAUCAUUAUUUUUAGCUUAUGUGCAGUAGGGAGCACUAACACAUUCUGCAGAUACUAUUUUCAACCCUUUUUCCCCUGAUGUCUUCAAAGGUUUAGUUUCCCAAGUGCCAUCUAGCUCAAAGUGCAGGCCUAAUUUACUGGCUUUCAUUCAGUUACUCAUGUAGGCCUGUGUAUCUAGAAUUUAAUCUGUAGUAUCCUGGUGAAAUUUAGUUUUUCUGUUUCCAGAAUACUACCCAUAUCCCUUGAUUGGCUUAAGGAUGCAUCCCAUUUUGAACUUGAUCUGAUUUUGUAUUACAAGUGCUGGGCAUGGGUAUAUUUUCCUUUCCUUUUAUUAUUCUUAAUUGCACAAGGAAGGAGAUUCAGUGGUGUUUUAAUAUGCAUGUGUUGAUUGCUCCUGAAUAAGCCUGUGACUAAACUUUAACCCUGAAUCCCACUGUUUAAGGGUUUUCCCCCUCUGGAUGUUGUGGAGCUGAACUCUGGGUGAUCCCAUGCAGACUGUCACCCUUUUACUCCCUUAUGGCAUUCAUUGUUUAGAUUAUUGGGAGGUUAAGCUGAUGAGCCUUCUUUUAAUUCAAGGAGCUUUAUUUGGGAGAGUACAUAAAGAAUGUUGUGAAACUACUUUUAUCUAAAAUCCAGGGAAGUGGAGAUGUCAUCUGACUGUCAAAUGUAAGGUUUAUCUGUGAGACAUGCUUGCCCUUCCCCUAGGCAAUUAUAUUUUCCCUGAAGCUACCAAAACAGGACUGUCAUGUGGAUAGAUUCAUAAAUUAGUUUUGUGGCCACCUCAUUACCUAAUUCUCUUGGUUUAGGAAUGUUCUUUAUCUGACACUGACCCACUGUGGAAUGGCUGGGGAUACUUAUUUUUUCUCUUUAUUCUUUUUGCUUCAGAACCCAAGUGCUUUUGUUGUAGAUAAAAAUGGGAAAUUCAGGAAAGGUAAAAAAGAAAAAUUAGAAAUCCUUUAGAAGUCUACUACUUGUGAGUAGGCACAUUAAAUAGUUGAAUAUAAUAUUUUUCAGAAAACAAGACCUACCCAUAUGUUGUCUACAAGAAACUUACUUUAAAUACAAAGAUUCAUAUAGAUUAAAAGUAAAUGGGUGGGGUAUAUGCUAACAUCCUAACACUAACCAAAAGAAAGCAGAAGUAGCUAUAUUCAUUUCAGACAGAGCAGACUUCAAAUCAAGGUGAGUUAUCAGGGAUAAAGAAAGGCAUUCUAUAAUGAUUAAAGAAGUUAGUUCUCCAAGACAUAACAGUCUUUAACAUUUAUGUGCUUAACAACAAAGUAUAAAAAUAUGUGAGGCAAAAACUAAUAGAAUUGCAAAGGGAAGUAUAAUAGAUUAAUUGCAUGAUCACGUCAGUGCAUUUGACAGAGCAUUUGACAAAAUGCGACACUCAUUCAUGAUUGAAAAAAAAAAACCUCAGUAAACUAGGAAUAGAGGAGAAAUUCCUCACAUUGAUAAUGAAUAUCUACAAAAAACUUACAGCUAACAUCAUAUUAAUGGUGAGAAACUUAAAGGUUUCCCACUAAAAUCAAGUACAAAGCAAGGAUGUUCACUUUCACAACUCCUUUUCAGUAUCAUACUGGAAGUUCUAGCUAAUGCAAAAAGGUAAGAAAAGGAAAUAGAAGGUAUAUAGUUUGGGAAGGAAGAAAUAUAAUUGUCUUUGUUCACAAAUGACAUUAUCAUCUAUAUAGAAAAUCCAAAAGAAUCAACAACAAAAAUACCCCUCUAGGACAAAUAAGCAAUUAUGGCAAGGUUGAGGUAUACAAGGUUAAAAUACAAAAGUCAGCCACUUUCCUAUGUACCAGCAAAGAGCAAGUAGGAUUUGAAACUGAAAAUACAAUCCAUUUACAUUAUCACCUUCCAAAAUGAAGUACUUAUGUAUAAAUCUAACAAAAUAUGUACAAGAUCUAUAUGAGGAAAACUACAAAACUCUGAUGAAUGAAAUCAAAGAACUAAAUAAAUAGAGAUAGUCCAUGUUCAUGGACAGGAAGUC